rnacentral:rRNA from 1 species
CAGUCGCCACGGGAAAACGAGGGGUGCAAGCGUUGUUCGGAAUUAUUGGGCGUAAAGGGUGCGUAGGCGGUUUGGCAAGUUUGGUGUGAAAUCUUCGGGCUCAACUCGAAGUCUGCAUCGAAAACUGCCGGGCUUGAGUAUGGGAGAGGUGAGUGGAAUUUCCGGUGUAGCGGUGAAAUGCGUAGAUAUCGGAAGGAACACCUGUGGCGAAAGCGGCUCACUGGACCAUAACUGACGCUGAUGCACGAAAGCUAGGGGAGCAAACAGGAUUAGAUACCCGCGUAGUCCCUGUCUCUUAUAA